rnacentral:lncRNA from 1 species
CCGGCGAGACCAUCACCUUCAAGAACAACGCCGGGUACCCGCACAACGUGGUGUUCGACGAGGACGCGGUGCCCUCCGGCGUCGACGUCUCCAAGAUCUCCCAGGAGGAGUACCUCAACGCCCCCGGGGAGACCUUCUCCGUCACGCUCACCGUCCCCGGCACCUACGGCUUCUACUGCGAGCCCCACGCCGGAGCCGGCAUGGUCGGCAAGGUCACCGUCAACUAAGCUGUCAUCUAGCUCUUGCGAAUUGUUGCGGGUCGGUUGAUCGAUCGGGCGUGUCAUGCAUGCAUAUUGAUUAAUUGUACGUACGUACGCUAUAUGUAUAUGUUUUCAACUAUAAGAUGAGAUGAGGCUCUUGAUGAUAAGUACGCACUCCUUCUUAGCUUUGAUUUGAUUGAUGAUCUAUG